rnacentral:rRNA from 1 species
GAUGAACGCUAGCGGCAGGCUUAACACAUGCAAGUCGAGGGGUAUAGUUCUUCGGAACUAGAGACCGGCGCACGGGUGCGUAACGCGUAUGCAAUCUACCUUUUACAGAGGGAUAGCCCAGAGAAAUUUGGAUUAAUACCCCAUAGUAUGUGAGAAUCGCAUGAUUUUCACAUUAAAGUUCCAACGGUAAAAGAUGAGCAUGCGUCCCAUUAGCUAGAUGGUAAGGUAACGGCUUACCAUGGCGACGAUGGGUAGGGGUCCUGAGAGGGAGAUCCCCCACACUGGUACUGAGACACGGACCAGACUCCUACGGGAGGCAGCAGUGAGGAAUAUUGGACAAUGGGCGCAAGCCUGAUCCAGCCAUGCCGCGUGCAGGAUGACGGUCCUAUGGAUUGUAAACUGCUUUUGUACAGGAAGAAACACUCCCUCGUGAGGGAGCUUGACGGUACUGUAAGAAUAAGGAUCGGCUAACUCCGUGCCAGCAGCCGCGGUAACAC